rnacentral:lncRNA from 1 species
GGGGUCCCAGUGAUGGUACGGAAGGUGGAUGGGGAAGGCAGAGCAAAGUGGAGGAGGUAAAGGUACAGGAAGGAGGUCAAAAGAGAGGUCCAUCUGAGGUUGGUCAGCAGAGUCCAUUAAGUCUUUAAGGGAAGCAAUUUAAUUUUUUUUUCUGCUUCUCAGAGGCUUUUUUACAACAAUCAAAUACUGUGAACCACCAAAUCAUUCGGAAUUUUGGAAUCCUUUUAUUCUAAGGCACCAGGCCUUCAGACUUGGCUUGGUACUAUAUCAUCAGCUCUCC